UACAGAGGGUGCAAGCGUUAAUCGGAGUUACUGGGCGUAAAGGGCGCGUAGGCGGAUAUUUAAGUUGGAUGUGAAAUCCCUGGGCUUAACCUAGGAAUUGCAUUCAAUACUGAGUAUCUGGAGUAUGGUAGAGGCAAGUGGAAUUCCCGGUGUAGCAGUGAAAUGCGUAGAUAUCGGGAGGAACACCAAGGCGAAGGCAGCUUGCUGGGCCAAUACUGACGCUGAGGCGCGAAAGCGUGGGGAGCAAACAGG
rnacentral:rRNA from 1 species